rnacentral:rRNA from 1 species
CCUACGGGUGGCUGCAGUGGGGAAUAUUGCACAAUGGGCGAAACCCUGAUGCAGCGACGCCGCGUGAGUGAAGAAGUAUUUCGGUAUGUAAAGCUCUAUCAGCAGGGAAGAAAAUGAAGGUACCUGAUCAUGAAGCCCCGGCUAACUACGUGAAAGCAGCCGCGGUAAUACGUAGGGGGCGCGCGUUAUCCGGAUUUACUGGGUGUAAAGGGAGCGUAGACGGCAGCGCAAGUCUGAAGUGAAGUGCCGGGGCUUAACCCUGGAACUGCUUUGGAAACUGGGCAGCUAGAGUGCAGGAGAGGUAAGUGGAAUUCCUGGUGUAGCGGUGAAAUGCGUAGAUAUCAGGAGGAACACCAGUGGCGAAGGCGGCUUACUGGACUGUAACUGACGUUGAGGCUCGAAAGCGUGGGUAGCAAACAGGAUUAGAUACCCCUGUAGUC